rnacentral:lncRNA from 1 species
UGAAAAUCCCACUCCUAAUGGCUUCAGCUUCACCUUCGUGAUUCUGCUGGAAGCAAAGCUUUUUGCAUAAGCAGAGGUGUGAUUUUCACUGUCAGAGAAGGAAAGCCUUUUAAUUGAAGAGUUACACCUGAAUGACUGUUAUCCCUUCAGGAAAAGAAAAAACCCUCAUGGGACCAACCAAUAACUAAUGAGUCUGUCUAUGGAGGAGAAGCAAGAAAAGCAUAUCACCUUGUCUUGUUUGGUUUGGCAGAGCUGGAAUACUUCAUAAGAGAUGAAGCUGCUACAACUUGCCUUCCUUUCUCCCAGAGCUGUGCAGCCGCUGCUGCCAAAAGCACUCUUCUAUUGGAGCACACGCAGCAGGUGACACAGUGUGGACAUGAGAAAACACGGAAGACCCUUGUUAAUUACCUGUGCAGAUGACACCAGACUAGAAGAACUAAGGAUUAUGAAGAUAAGAACCAGCACCCAUGGAAACCUUGAUGAAAAGCUGGAGGACAGGAUGUGGAGAUGGACUUAAUGUACAAUAACAAGUUAUCAUGAUUCAUACUUUCCUUUGCUGCUGCUGAACAUACUCUCCAUGUGACCAGAACCCACUCAUAAAUCACAAGCAGAAAUUCUGCUACUUGAUGUGAUGGCACUAGCCAUGAUCUGUGUAAGCUCACUGCUUGAGUCUAGGGUAGCAGCCAGCACAGACUCAAUGAGAGGUGACAAAAGGAGGAGGUAAUGUUAGGCGCUUUGAUAGAACAAGACAGAAAGAGCACUGCAGAUUCUUUUCCAAAAUAGGCUCAGCAUGGAUUGUCAGUCCUGGAAUACCAAGCAAAUGUUUACACAGUGAUGAGUCCCUCCCUUUGAGACUAUCCUACCAAUGGAAGAACAAAAUUGAAUGCAAAUCAUCAGCACUCUGUGUGCAGGUUCCCUGCAUCCCAUCAUGAAGCAUAUGAAUUCUAUGCACUCCUAAGAAUUUCAUGCUAAUACAUUCUUUUUUUUUCUGUAUUCUUCCUAAAAGCUUGCCAAGAUAAAUUACUCUCUCAUUUUCCCUAGAUGAAAUCCAAUUUGUGGCACUUCUGAUUUGCUGGAAUAUCUAUGGUGCCUCCAAGUUUUUCGUGGUGCUCUUGAUAGCAGAGUUUGCUUCAUAAUUCAUGAGAAAAUCGCUUUAGUUUUUAUAUCCAGAUUGUGCCAUAAAACCUCACAUUUUCACUUUGUCAGCUGCCUAAAGCAAGGGA